rnacentral:misc_RNA from 1 species
GAUGAAGAACGUAGCGAAAUGCGAUACGUAAUGUGAAUUGCAGAAUUCAGUGAAUCAUCGAAUCUUUGAACGCAUAUUGCGCUCUCUGGUAUUCCGGAGAGCAUGCUUGUUUGAGUAUCAGUAAACACCUCAACUUCCAUAUCUUUUUCGAAAUGGGAGUUGGACUUGAGUGAUCCCAACGCUUUUCCUCACCGAAAAGUGGCGGGUUACUUGAAAUGCAGGUGCAGCUGGACUUUUCUCUGAGCUAUAAGCAUAUCUAUUUAGUCUGCCUAAAAAACAGAUUAUUACCUUUGCUGCAGCUAACAUAAAGGAGAUUAGUUCUUGUGCUGACUGAUGCAGGAUUCACAAAGACAGGCUUCGGCCGACUUUGUAAACUCGAUCUCAAAUCAAGUAAGACUACCCGCUGAACUUAAGCAUAUCAAUAAGCGGAGGA